AGCCAGGAUGUUGGCUUAGAAGCAGCCAUCAUUUAAAGAAAGCGUAAUAGCUCACUGGUCGAGUCGGCCUGCGCGGAAGAUGUAACGGGGCUAAACCAUGCACCGAAGCUGCGGCAGCGACGCUUAUGCGUUGUUGGGUAGGGGAGCGUUCUGUAAGCCUGUGAAGGUGUGCUGUGAGGCAUGCUGGAGGUAUCAGAAGUGCGAAUGCUGACAUAAGUAACGAUAAAGCGGGUGAAAAGCCCGCUCGCCGGAAGACCAAGGGUUCCUGUCCAACGUUAAUCGGGGCAGGGUGAGUCGACCCCUAAGGCGAGGCCGAAAGGCGUAGUCGAUGGGAAACAGGUUAAUAUUCCUGUACUUGGUGUUACUGCGAAGGGGGGACGGAGAAGGCUAUGUUGGCCGGGCGACGGUUGUCCCGGUUUAAGCGUGUAGGCUGGUUUUCCAGGCAAAUCCGGAAAAUCAAGGCUGAGGCGUGAUGACGAGGCACUACGGUGCUGAAGCAACAAAUGCCCUGCUUCCAGGAAAAGCCUCUAAGCAUCAGGUAACAUCAAAUCGUACCCCAAACCGACACAGGUGGUCAGGUAGAGAAUACCAAGGCGCUUGAGAGAACUCGGGUGAAGGAACUAGGCAAAAUGGUGCCGUAACUUCGGGAGAAGGCACGCUGAUAUGUAGGUGAAGUCCCUCGCGGAUGGAGCUGAAAUCAGUCGAAGAUACCAGCUGGCUGCAACUGUUUAUUAAAAACACAGCACUGUGCAAACACGAAAGUGGACGUAUACGGUGUGACGCCUGCCCGGUGCCGGAAGGUUAAUUGAUGGGGUUAGCGGUAACGCGAAGCUCUUGAUCGAAGCCCCGGUAAACGGCGGCCGUAACUAUAACGGUCCUAAGGUAGCGAAAUUCCUUGUCGGGUAAGUUCCGACCUGCACGAAUGGCGUAAUGAUGGCCAGGCUGUCUCCACCCGAGACUCAGUGAAAUUGAACUCGCUGUGAAGAUGCAGUGUACCCGCGGCAAGACGGAAAGACCCCGUGAACCUUUACUAUAGCUUGACACUGAACAUUGAGCCUUGAUGUGUAGGAUAGGUGGGAGGCUUGAAGUGUGGACGCCAGUCUGCAUGGAGCCGACCUUGAAAUACCACCCUUUAAUGUUUGAUGUUCUAACGUUGACCCGUAAUCCGGGUUGCGGACAGUGUCUGGUGGGUAGUUUGACUGGGGCGGUCUCCUCCUAAAGAGUAACGGAGGAGCACGAAGGUUGGCUAAUCCUGGUCGGACAUCAGGAGGUUAGUGCAAUGGCAUAAGCCAGCUUGACUGCGAGCGUGACGGCGCGAGCAGGUGCGAAAGCAGGUCAUAGUGAUCCGGUGGUUCUGAAUGGAAGGGCCAUCGCUCAACGGAUAAAAGGUACUCCGGGGAUAACAGGCUGAUACCGCCCAAGAGUUCAUAUCGACGGCGGUGUUUGGCACCUCGAUGUCGGCUCAUCACAUCCUGGGGCUGAAGUAGGUCCCAAG
rnacentral:rRNA from 1 species